AUUGAACGCUGGCGGCAGGCCUAACACAUGCAAGUCGAGCGGAUGAAGGGAGCUUGCUCCUGGAUUCAGCGGCGGACGGGUGAGUAAUGCCUAGGAAUCUGCCUGGUAGUGGGGGAUAACGUCCGGAAACGGGCGCUAAUACCGCAUACGUCCUGAGGGAGAAAGUGGGGGAUCUUCGGACCUCACGCUAUCAGAUGAGCCUAGGUCGGAUUAGCUAGUUGGUGGGGUAAAGGCCUACCAAGGCGACGAUCCGUAACUGGUCUGAGAGGAUGAUCAGUCACACUGGAACUGAGACACGGUCAAGACUCCUACGGGAGGCAGCAGUGGGGAAUAUUAGACAAUGGGCGAAAGCCUGAUACAGCCAUGCCGCGUGUGUGAAGAAGGUCUUCGGAUUGUAAAGCACUUUAAGUUGGGAGGAAGGGCAGUAAGUUAAUACCUUGCUGUUUUGACGUUACCAACAGAAUAAGCACCGGCUAACUUCGUG
rnacentral:rRNA from 1 species